CCAGCUCAUAUAAGGUAAAAGGCAGAGUGGCCUCUGUGGCCAGGGAGCUGCAGGCAAGGGACUAAGGGGAGGGGGGCUCAGUGCCAGCUGCUUAAAAAUGCCCCUGUGGCAGUGAGGGGCACCAGAGUCUGGGUCAAAUUAGUUGAGAAGCAGUGACACCCUCAACCACUCCCCACACAGGCUGGCUCCCAUCUCCAGGCCCCAAGGAGUCACACCUGGACCAGACCCCAGGAAAGGCAAGGGCACUAGCUGGUGAAAGCCACCCGUGCCACACUGAUGUUGGAGAAGCAAGAACUCAGGAGAAGCAGCCUCCUGGGACCAGAGGAGGGCCAGCGGCAGCCAGCUUGGAGACAGAACUGUGAGCCCACCCCCGCUCCACCCCUCCAGUACCCACAUCUGCUCCCCACCCCAGCCCACCUGCAGGUGGCUUCUGGAGUAACCUGGGUCCCUCAGGAUAAACUCCCCACCCUAACCUUAGAAGGACCAAGAAACCAGGCCUCGGGAGAAUGAGAAGCAGCAUGGGCCUUGUUAAAGAUUGGUGGCAGUGCAGGCAACUCGGGGCUGUUAGGGUCUGGGUUGUAGGUAAAAAGAAAUUGAACCAAAGCAGGAAAAUCUAACCAGGAGCCAAGAAUCCAGUCUACCCCAUCCUCCUUACAAAAUAGCAAUGCAAAGCCCAUGUCAUUUGGACAUAAAACCUCUGUGAUUCAACUUGAUUUGGUGAAUAACAGACUUGAGAGAAAUGUGGAGAAUAAUAGUCAUCUUCCCUAGAAAGGAGUAAACAGGGUUAAGCUUCAGAAGCAGGAAGACCUGGGGCUGUGUGAUCUUGGAGGAGUCAAUCAACCUCUCUGAGCCUAGCAAUAAAGAACCAGCUCACAGGGCUUUGAGAGGGUUUGUGAGGUUGGGUUGGUGUCCCCAGUUGCAGCCCUUGGCACAUGGUGAAACUCAAGAAAAUGGAGCAGUUUUUACCAUUCAUCACAUUAUUCCCACACUUGUCAAUGUUUAAAGAUACUUUCAGGCUCACAGUGGAACCGAUAGGGUGAGGUGCCAGUUCCAUAAGACAAGUGGAGAAACUGAGGCCUGGAGAGGCAAAAGCAUUCACUCAGAAUUGCACGCAUAGUCAGUUGCAAAGGGGAAUUCUGGCACCAGCUCUCAUGUGGAUGGAAAAAGUGCAGGAAGAUUUGGAGGUGAGCAGCGGAGAAGGGAGGAGGAGGCGGGGUUCCAGGAAAGGAGCUGACACUGGGAUGUGGGACAAGGCCCAGGCCUGUCUUACGUAACAAGGUCCACCUGUUCACCCCUGCAUGCCCCACACAUGUGUGCAAACGUGCGCCCCGGCACGGCGCACACCCGGUCCUCCCUCACUAGCAAAUGAGCCACAGAGACUGGGUCUAAACAAAUUGGAUUAGGAGGGCUGCAGGCGCCUCCUCCCCCCGACUGUCCGGCUCCAACACUAACCAGGCCUGCCGAACUGCCAGCUGGGAUCUCUCAAACACACUGACAGUCGGUCCUUGGCUCCCUCACCCUACCGUGGGCCUCAGGAAGGGGGUCUGGGUCCGAGAGGAUGCCACAGUGAUGGAUGGGGUGAGGGAAGUUCCAGGGUUAGCUCAACAGUGCACAGGAUGUUAGUGCUUUUGUGAGGCACAUUUCCGAGUUGUUCCCAGGCCCCCCCCCUGCACCCCCUCCCCCUCCCCCUCCCCCUCCCCUCUGACAGCCUCUCCCAUGGCCAUUGCUGCUGCCUGGGACUUGGGCCCAGCCUAAGGCUCCAACCAGAGCCCAGAGCCCUGUCCUUGAGCAGAUCCACUUCAUCUCUCAGUCCUGCAGCUGGGCUGAGUGGGGAGUGGUCAGUUAAGACACUGACCUGGAGAUGAGAUACAGGGGAUGCUUCUGUAGGAAGAAGGAGCUUGUGGACAGACAAUGCUGUGUUAAAGGUGGCAUCUCGGUGCGUUCUCAUCCCUUGUUUCAUUCCAUCCUCAGAAUGUGGCUGGGGGUGAGGGGAUGGGUGUGACUGCCAAAACUUCUUUACUUGGUGAUUCCACAAUACCCCUUUCUGAGAGCCUGAGCCUGUGCCGCGCCCUGUGUGAUGUGCCAGGAACACCAGGGUGAAUACUUACAGGCCCUGUUCCCUUUCCUUCGUAGAACAGCCUCCUUCAGGCUGGGUCAUUGGGCACUGGGGCCCCCUGGUCUUCCAGGGUUGCAGCUUCACAGAAUCCCUUUUCCAUAAGGCACAUGGAAGUGACUGUCACCUGCAACGGGAGCCAUGACAACUAGCCGAUCCAGAACACAGGCCUUGAUGUCAGACAGUCCCGAGUUCAAAUCCUGCCUUGCUCCCUUUCAGCUGGAAAGCUGCUGUCAAAUAACUUAGCCUCUCCAAGUUAGUUUUCCCUUCUGCGAAAUGAGGAUACAUGAGCUGCCACCUCACAGAAUGACUGUGAGAAUUAAUUCUUAUUUUUCACAUCUUCAUUGGACAGAGGGAGACACAGAAGCCCGGAGAGGGAAAGGGCUUGGUUAGGAUCACAUCAUGAGCUAAGGUUUAAGUCAGGAUGGGGUAGGUCCCCUCUUCUCUGGGUGUCCCUCUCUGCCAUGUCUUAUCUCAACAUAAAUCCUCCCCAGUUGCCCAGGCUGUCCAGGCAAUUCCUGGCACAUAUGCUGGGGCCUGCCCUCCACCUUCAGCCCUUCUCUGGCCUCUUCAGCAGCAGAGUCCUGGGUGACCAGCAGUGGCCCCCCGGCCCUCUGAGUGGUGGUGGAGGGUGGGGGAGCACUGCGGCCAGCUCCCAGCCCAGAUCACCCUGGCCAUAUAAGGGAAGGAGCCCAGGGAGGCCUCCUGGCUCAGGCCCCGAGAGAAAACCCAGACAGCCGCUGUUUAUUUUCUCCUGCCCAGCUCACCCACGCCUCCCUAAGCCUCCUGACAGAAGACAGAAGUUCCCCCCAGACCAGCGACAUUUCCUGAAGACAUGGGGACCACAGAGGCAGAAACAGUCCAUCCACCCACAAGCUACCAGCAGCCGGUACCCAGAGCCACCCGGUAAAACUGAGGCCACCUGGUUCAACGUCGCCUUUCACAGAAGGGGAAACAGAGCCACAGAGAGAAGGGCCUGGUGAGAAGUGGAGCCCAGGACUCCCAGGCGGUGUCUCUCAACCUUGGGAUCCAGAGUAGGAGGAAGCCUUUGGUGGGGUUGGAGUCCCCCCGCAGGCCAGCAGAGCGGAGCAGCACAGCCCUGUCUCCCAGCCUGAGGUGCAGUGCUGCAUCUCUGGUCAGUUGGGAGUCUGAGAUGAAGCACUGUAGCUCAGGAAGAGAGAAGUUGUUCUGCAGCCACCAGCCUGGAGGUGGUAAGUGCUGGGGGGCGGGGGGUGGGGCUGUCCCAGGAAGGACAGAGUGUUUCCAGACUCUAUACUGUCAGCCACUUGUGAUACUGGGGAAGUUCCUUGACACAGGUUCCCCCGGUUCCACAAUCCGCCUCACGAGUCUCAACGUGUCCUGACUCCUCUGUGUACCCCAGUGAGGUGUUAGCAUUUCCCUAGCAUCCUGCCUCCGCUUCCUCUUUCUGAGUCCAUGGCAGACACAGCUAAUCAGUAAAGGCAUACAUUCUUUUUUCUGAGACACAAUCUUACUCCAUCACCCAGGCUGGAGUGCAGUGGCACGAUCUCAGCUCGCUGCAAACUCCUUCCCCCAGGGUCAAGUGAUUCUCAUGCCUCAGCCUCCCAAGUAGCUGAGAUUACAGGUGCACACCACCACACCCAGCUAAUUUGUGUAUUUUUAGUAAAGAUGGGGUUUCACCAUGUUGGCCAGGCUGGUCUUGAACUCCUGACCUCAGGUGAUCUGCCCUCCUUGGCCUCCCAAAGUGCUGGCAUUACAGGCAUAAGUAACUACACCCGGGCUAGGCGUCCAUUCUUGAAAUGUUCUCAGAUGCAGCUUCAGAAUCCUCAACAAUGAGCCCUGGAGAGCCACUAUUAAUGAUUCACAACUGAAACUCAUUCAUCAUUUCUGCAAACAAUUCCUAAAAACCUCUCAGCCCUGAGGACAAAAGUUCUGGCCUUUGAGUCAGGGUCUUCACUCUGUGCUUCUAUCCUUGGCUCUGGGGUAUUGCGGAAACCAGUCCAGGUGCCUCACAAAUGUCUGACUUCUCCCAGAGGCUUCAGACACGCACUGAGCAGAGGAGGAGAGCCAAGCACAGUUUCAUUUAACCUACCCAAAAGCUUGGGAAGUGGGUGGUGUUAUAGCCCCAUUUUACAGAUGCAAAAAGCUGAGGCUAAUUUAAGCAGCUCACCUAAGGUCACAUAUUGGUUGUGCUGAACUGAGACUGUACCCUAAUCUGCCUUCAAAUCCAUGUUUUUACCCAUUGCAUAUGAUUAUGGAACUUGGGACAGGGAAGCAGGCGGAGAACAUUCUAACUCCUGCUCCCAUCUUGUCUUUACAUCUCAGGUCACUUUUAGCAAAGACAGACUCGGACACUUGCCAUUAAUACUAUGGGCUUCCUUCCUCCUGCCCCCUCCCCCUUAAUUUUAUUUAUCUCACCUCUCCAGUGGGUCCUAGACUCUUGCAUUUCAGCGUUACAGAAGGCCAAGGCUCAGAGGUUAAGCGACUUGCUGGAGAUCAUCAAAGCGGGAGGUGCCAAACCCAGGCUUGGACGUGAAUUGUUGCUUUAAAUUCACUCUGGCAGGAGACUGGGGAAUACAUAUGAGCCAGGCAGACAGCAGUGGGCAGUCCUGGGGGCAGGGGCGCUGGAGGGUUUCUGGUACUUUCCAGGGCAAUUGAAGUUCCAGUCACUACUCCCCCCAGAGCAACGAGCCCCGUCCUGCGAUGUGUGGCACCCACACUGGCUGCUACAGAUGGGACUGGAUGCA